CACGGCAUUGAGAGUAUCUGAUUGGCCACUGGCCAGCCAAUGGUGGGGCAAACUUUGGAGCAGGCUAUCACGGUUGGAACAAUCAGUGCUGAAGGAGUUGAAGAGGAUGGGCAAGCCACGGCUUCUCCUUCUGGAAACGGAGAUCAUCUCCAAAGAAGACCAUCAUUUUCUACUAUGGACAAUGUGGAUGCUAGUUCUCUCCCAUUCACAGGUUCAGCACAUGUUACAGAAGAGCGUUUUCCUUCAGAGAUUAUUCACAGAUGUCCCACAGCCCAUAGCAAAUACAGGGCAUAUUAAGUUCAAAUAAAUAUAUGCAAAUAUGUGUGGAAAUGGCCUGUAGCCUGCAGGAGCCUGAGGAGAAGAGAGGAGCUAGCAGCCCCAGUCAAGUCUAGCGAAGUGCAUCUUGGCCUGCAGUGAUGGCUGUUUCCCCCAGAAAGUUCUUCCACUUCUGGAUCCCACCUCGACUGAACCUUACACAAUCUACUGCUGGACUUUCCAAUGGCAUGAGUUGGUAAAUCAUCUCAUUUUUGCAAAAGCAAGUGUAACUUGAGUUUCCAUCACUUGCAGCUGAGAGAACACUUGUUCUUGAAUUUUAUCCACAAUGAGGUGCUGGAUGUUUUCUGUUUGCCCCAUGAACUCACUCUCUGCCUUCCCUGUCUUGCUGUCUACCCUUAUUGGUUCUUUUUUCCUUUCUGCUUUGGUUUCCAGUUGGCUCUGGCCAAUGAUAGAAGACGAUAAAAGAGCGAGGGAGAAUAAAGUCAUGUGUUUAUUUCUUCAGCGUUCUCCAAGCAGGGUUGCCAACUGCCUGGGCGUGUUUUGUCACAGAUCUCAUAGCUUCUCUCAAGGCAGCCUGCUCCAUCUGAUUCUCCCCUUCUGAAUUAUAACCAGUUUUCACUGAGUACUUUCUAUACUCAGGAACAGUGAGAGCUAUCUUGUAUACAUUAGUUCCCUAAGUCCACUUCUACAGGAAAUGUUUGUUAGAAUUAUUGCUUUGUUAUAAAUAAGGAACUUGAGAGGGACAGAGAACUCUAGUAACUCGUCAAAAGUCCUGUGCACCUCUGUGAUCCCCUUACAGGCUAAAAAUCUGACUCCACCAACACCGACUCUGGCUUCGAGCUUCAUAUUUCCCCAGUCCCCCUCACCCUUCACCUUCCCUUCUCAAAGUUACCCAAUAGCUCCCAAUCACUCACUGGAUGCAAGUUCUCAGUUUUCUGGACUGACUUGAUCAAGGCUGGUAUUGGUUAGUCUCCUGCUUACCUGCCCAGCCAGCCUCAUCUCCUGUCUUUUGCCUCAUUCCAGUCCUGAAUUUUAUGCUGUAAGGAUGAAGAAUCAUUCCUCUUUUUCCAGUACCCAUUAGAGUUUCCAACUCUGAGCUUUUUUAUAUUCUAGAUCUUCUUCUUGCGAUAGUCUAUAUAUGUUGCUAUAGAGACUUGAACAAAGAUAAUGGCACUAAACAUGAAGAGAAGGAUGUGAUAGACAUAACUGAUGGAGUAUACUGUAGAUGCUGAUGGAGUAUAGAGCCUGCUGAACUGCAGAGGCAGGAAGGAAGAAAAACACGUGCCUCUACAGUGAUAGGAUGAUGCAGUAACCAAUAUCAGCAUGGAAACUUGGAAGAAAAGAUGAGAUAAUUGCUGCAGUUUCCUGAAGUGACUCAAUUUUUCCUUUGGAGAUGGCACACUGAGUAUCCAUCUUCUCUCCAUGAUUGUCCAACCUCCUUGAAGUUAGGUGGGGCUUUGUGACUCCUUUUGCUAGUGGGUUGAGCAGAAGUGAGAUCUCUGCUGGGCUCAAGCAUGGAAAGGCUGACUCCUGAACUUCCAGCUUCUCUUCCCAGUGGCAGAAAAGCAGAAGCCACAGUCAAGAGGGAGGAGCCACAAAAUGGAACCAGCCUCAAUUGCCGAGGCUGAGCUCACAUCUUAUUUUGCAAAACAGAACUCAACCUGUGAUAAGAUAAACCAGUGAUAGUUUGGAGUGUUGGCAAUUCCAGCAUGACCUUCCACUCCUGAACAGUACCUCUCCUCUAAUAGCAGCAAUUAUGUGAGGAAUUGUGUCCCCCUCCCUCGCUGAAAUGUAUAUAUUGAAAUCCCAGCCUGCAGUGCCUAGAAGGUAAUCCUAUCAGAAGACACAGUCUUUAAAGAAAUAAUUAAAUUAAAAUGAAGUCUUCAGGGUGGGUCAUAAUCCAAUGCGACUAGUGUCCUCAUAAGAAGAGGAAAUUUGGACAGAAGUACCUGUGCACACAGAGGAAAGACCAUGGGAAGAUGCAGAGAGAACACAGCCAUCUGGGAACCAAAGGGAGAGGCCGCCAAAGAAACCAACCCUGUCUGCAUCCUGAUCUUGGAUUUCCAUAUUAUGGAAGCUUCCAUGUUAUGAGAAAAUAAAUUUCUAUUUUUUUAGACACCCAGUCUGUGUUCUUUUGUUAUGACAGCACUAACAAACUAAUACAGCACCAUUUUUUCCCUUUCCUUUUGGAGAAGCACCACACCAUAUUCAGCCUAUGCUGUCAGGUGGAGCUGACUCCCACCCUGGCUAUGGGGUGAGCUAAUGAUCCAGGAUGGCCAAUCAGAGCCUUCCACCCUACUGUCAACAAUGAGUGCUUUGGGAAUGAGCCAGCAAUGACAUCCAAGUUAAUAAGAACUGGUGAGCACUGCAUGGAAGACUUCAUGUUUUAAAUGUUGGAAUUAAGAAACGGUAUCUCCUGCAGAGAUAACCAAACUCAUGGAAUAUGUCCAAUAUCACCAAGACAAAACCUUCUUGGGAUUGAGGCAAAUUAUAAAGAAAGAACAGAACAAAAGAGCAAGGAUACAAAGAAGAAAACAAUUGCUGACCGAAGUGUUUCAAUUCCUGGAUCCCUUCCUGACUGAACCCUCAGAUCAAUUCCUGGGUGUGAGGCAGUAAGUUAGCUCGUUUUGCUGAAGUAAGUGUUCUGUCACUUGCAGCUGAAUGGAUCCUGCCUGAUUAAUACAAUAGAAUUUCAUGUAAUGAUAAGAACCAAAUCUAAAAUUCUUAGCAGACACUAAGCAUUUUACACAGGUUAUUUAAUCCUCAUAAUUAUUUAAACUAUGGGACUACUAUUAUCUUCGUUUUAUAGAUAAGGAACAUGAAGCUAGAGGAGAUAAGUUCUCAUUGGCUGAGCUGGAAUUUGCAUGCAUUUGCCUCUAACUGCACAGACUGUCUUCUGAACCCCGUCAGACUUUCACCCUUCCUUUUUUGAAGCUUUACAGACCCCACGGGUUAAUAUCAAUCAAUACUCUUAUUUUGUAGAUUAGCAAACUUAAUCAUUUGAAAGUUAAAUAUCUUGGUAACAGUCAAAGUCUAACACAAAUCUGGCAGAAUUAAAAUUCCAUUCAUUUUGAGUCCACAGGAGAAGGCUCCUUUAAAAUUCUAAUUUUCCUGGGCAAUGCUGAUGUUGAACUCUUAGAAGCUAAAUCCUUCGUUGCUAAUUCUCACUGCAACAACAACCAGGGCACUGUCCACAUAUGAGCACACAUAGGACACAGGUGAGGAGGGACAGCGAAGACACUGGCUGCCAACUGAAUUUACUGAGUGCUUUCUGCAUGACAGCCACUGUGCCAGUCAUUCUCCACACACUGGCUAAUUUAAUCCUCACAUCUCUCCUGUGAUGUAUGUCAUGUAAAGUAUCCCAUUUUAUGGAUGAGAAAAACUGAGGGUAGGUACCUUGCCCAAGGUCAGACCACUGGUAGAGUGUGCGGAGGGGGUCACGGGGAGGGGAGAGGGUUGCCGACCUCCACUGACCCUGAACCCUUGGUUGUGAAAGGAGCACCUCCCUCCCCACAGCCCUCUCUCUAGUGCUGGACACUGAGAAGUCUAGUCUCCUGCCUGCAAGAUUCCAAGGCUUUAUAAUUGCCACAGAAUCCUCAAAGCGUGGUCUAUCUAUUUCCCUUUACGGGCAAGAUUAUCACCAGGGAAAAAUGGGAGAGGGGCUCUAUGAUCCCAGAGUGUCCCCAGAAUGGAUCGAUGGCCUCUGUCAUUACACACCAAACCCUGGGGUAUAACAUAAGCCUGAGCUGGGAUGCUGUUUUCCAGGCAGAGAGAACCGUCAUUUCGGUGAAUGUUGUCUAAGCUCACUGGGGCCUCCUCCUGGAAAAUGAAUCUGGCCUCUCAGUUCCAUUCCAGGUAGCAGCUGGUAGGACCACUUAUGUGGAAGGCU
rnacentral:lncRNA from 1 species